rnacentral:tRNA from 1 species
GUUAGCUCAGUCGGUAGAGCGCAUGACUGUUAAUCAUGAUGUCGCUGGUUCGAGCCCGGC